rnacentral:siRNA from 1 species
AAUUUAUAUCUAACACUCGCCUA